AUACGUAGGGGGCGAGCGUUGUCCGGAAUGAUUGGGCGUAAAGGGCGCGUAGGCGGCCCGGUAAGUCUGGAGUGAAAGUCCUGUUUUUAAGAUGGGAAUUGCUUUGGAUACUGUCGGGCUUGAGUGCAGGAGAGGUAAGUGGAAUUCCCAGUGUAGCGGUGAAAUGCGUAGAGAUUGGGAGGAACACCAGUGGCGAAGGCGACUUACUGGACGGUAACUGACGCUGAGGCGCGAAAGUGUGGGGAGCAAACAGGAUUAGAUGCCCUGGUAGUCCGCACAGUAAACGAUGGACACCCGCGGUUUGGCCUGUAUGGCUGAGCCGCCAAGCGAAAGCGUUAAGUGUCCCACCUGGGGAGUACGCCGGCAACGGUGAAACUCAAAUGAAUUGACGGGG
rnacentral:rRNA from 1 species